AGACCCGAAACCCGGUGAUCUAGCCAUGGGCAGGUUGAAGGUUGGGUAACACUAACUGGAGGACCGAACCGACUAAUGUUGAAAAAUUAGCGGAUGACCUGUGGCUGGGGGUGAAAGGCCAAUCAAACCGGGAGAUAGCUGGUUCUCCCCGAAAGCUAUUUAGGUAGCGCCUCGUGAAUUCAUCUCCGGGGGUAGAGCACUGUUUCGGCUAGGGGGCCAUCCCGGCUUACCAACCCGAUGCAAACUGCGAAUACCGGAGAAUGUUAUCACGGGAGACACACGGCGGGUGCUAACGUCCGUCGUGAAGAGGGAAACAACCCAGACCGCCAGCUAAGGUCCCAAAGUCAUGGUUAAGUGGGAAACGAUGUGGGAAGGCCCAGACAGCCAGGAUGUUGGCUUAGAAGCAGCCAUCAUUUAAAGAAAGCGUAAUAGCUCACUGGUCGAGUCGGCCUGCGCGGAAGAUGUAACGGGGCUAAACCAUGCACCGAAGCUGCGGCAGCGAACGUAUCACCCAAGACAACUUUACGGAGUUGACGAUUGACGGAGCGAAGCGACGUCAAAGCGUUCAUUAAAGUCGAGUUGGCUUAGGGAUACGUUCGUUGGGUAGGGGAGCGUUCUGUAAGCCUGUGAAGGUGUGUCGUGAGGCAUGCUGGAGGUAUCAGAAGUGCGAAUGCUGACAUAAGUAACGAUAAAGCGGGUGAAAAGCCCGCUCGCCGGAAGACCAAGGGUUCCUGUCCA
rnacentral:rRNA from 1 species